CUCCUAUAUUAGUAUAAUUAGGUUAGGGAAAAGCAAUGGCCAAUAUAUUCUUCCUGCCGCCACACACUUUUCAAUUUGUAUUAAACCUCAAAUCUCCCCAAACCUAAUUAAAUAUCCUACUUCUCCCUUCUACUUAACAAACACAAAGUCAGAUCUCAUCCCCCCGCUCCCUUUCUCUGCGCCUCUUACCCUUUCUCUUCUUCGUUUUUAUUUGAUUUGAAAUUCUUAUAAAAUAUUGCUGAUUAAUUUAUUUUUGUAGAUUUUACAACGUGAACUUCUCCAAGUAGCAUAUAAGUAUUGCAUUGAAUUGUGAUGUAUUUUUAAAUUUUAAGGUAAUAUUUUUUCUGUUUAUGAAAUUACACUAGAUAUAUUUUCGUUGUUGUAUUAAAAUUUAAAAGCAAUAUCUACAAGUUUUACAAAGUUUAUUAAAAUUUAAAAGCAAUAUCUACAAGUUUUACAAAGUUUAAAACGUCUAAAGGUUUGUUUACUUAUUUGGUUGCUUUGUAUUUUUCGUAUUUUUGUUUUAAAGUUUUUUUUUGUAAAAAAAUUACCUAAAUCAUAUACUUUUUCUCCUUGAAAUACUAUACAUAUACAUACACAUGCAUAUAUAAUUGAUAUGUCUAGAUUUUGUUGAUGCUAAAUUACUUUACUAUAAUUGAUAGGCUGAAAUUAGAGCAUAUAAAUGACAAAUUAGGAUGUAUGUUGAUCAAGUUGAGGUGCAAUUGAAGACUAAAAAAAAGAGAGAGUAGAAGAUUAUGCUGCUUUGAACUCAAAUAAGAUGGUGUCUCAAAAGAAUUGUAUAUUGUGAUUAUUCUGAAAAUUGUAAAAUGCAAUUGUACGUAAUUUGACAAUUGUGUUAGAAUCCCCAAAAUAAAUUUAUAGUUAUAUUAUGUAAUUUUUUUAUUGACAAAAUUUGUAGAAAAUUCUUUAAUUUAUAGUAAUGAAAUUGUUCUUUUUUUUUUUUAAUUUUAGCAAUUAAUAAUAUUUAUAAAAAUAUUCUUCAAUUUUUAGCAAUGAAUUUUUAUAGUUGUUGGCUAAAGCCUAGAUAAUUGUAUAAAAAAAAAUAUAACGAUAUAUUUUCUCUUUUUAAAGACAAUUAAAAAGUAGCUAUAACUUAUAUAUUUCGUGGCAAAAUGAAUAAAUUUUUAAUUAUGUACAAAAAUAUUUGUGCCAUAUACUCUAAUUUAUAGCUAUAGAUUUUUGAACUCAUAGCUAAAUGUAUACAAUAACAACAAGCCAAGUGUAUUCCCACAUAAUGGGGUCUGGCAUAGCUAAAUGUAUCAUGAAACUAAAAUAUUAAAUAGCCAUAACUUUUAAAUUUUUAUAGCAAAUAAAUAAAACUUUCAAAUAAAUAAAACUUUUGCCACAAUAGAAUACAUUGUGGCUAUAUAUAUAUAUAUAUAAAAGUUUACUGUAGAUUCUAUUUAUCGUGGUAAAGAAUAAAUUUAUUUGCUAUAAGAAUAUAUUUCAUAGAAAAAUUCUUUUACCGUCACAGUUACAAUAUAAUUUAGUUAUGCUACUUCUUGCUGUGAAUGCUACGAAAGAAAAAAAUAUGGCUAAAGUAUUUAGCUGUGAAACUUUUCAUAUUUAGCCACGACAUAUUAUGCACUUAUAGAUGCCUUUUGUUGUAGUAUAGUAAUGUAGAAGAGAUGUUGCAGAAUCCAUAUUUGCAAAUCUUAGCAAUGGGACCAUUAAGAAAGACAAAGUCUUGGCCUAUUUAUUUUUGUGAAUGGAUACAAGUUUCAUACUUCUUCUUAGGGUGAAGGAAAAAGUACAUAUAACAGUGGGAUGUGUGUUAGUAGCGUUGGACAAGAUGACAUUACAAGUAAAUAUUAUGGUGUUCUUAAGGAGAUUAUCGAAUUUGAAUGUCCAAUGACAUCAUUUAUGAAGUUAGUUUUAUUUUAUUGUGAUUGGUUUGAUUCCUCAAAACAUGGCAUGAAAGUUGAUUGUCAAUUUGGUAUUGUCGAGGUUCGAAAAAGGGGAAGAUAUUCUAAAUUUGACCCUUUUAUCUUUCUACAAAUUGUAACUCAAGUUUAUUAUGCAAAUCAUCUGAAAGAAAAGAAAAUAAGGCUGAUUGGUGGGUAGUUAUAAAGACAAAGCCAAGAGGAGCUGUAGAUACAAGAUACAAUUUGGAAGUUGCUUACCAAAAGGAGCAAUCACGUGUUAGUGCAAGUAUAGAGGAUGACCCAAUUGAUUGUUUGAUGACCAAGCUGAUGGUGAAGAGGUUGAUGGAAGUAGUUGCAAGACCCCGCAAAAUCCGAAACUCAACUCAGUCUUUUAAGUUUGCUAAGGGGUCCCAGACUUGAAAAAUUCUAGCUAAGUAUUCAGACUUAGUAUUAUUUUGGCCUUCAUAAGUUGGCAACUCUAUUUCACGACCUGUAUGACCUUAAAAUGUCAAUCUUUAGGUUGAUUCAUGAUCAGAAAUGUCAGUAGGAGUUCUCAGACGAGUUUCAAAUUUUUUGGACCUCGUUUGAACCACUUUUGGGAAUCCAAAACAGUAUAUCUGCGCGAUCUCGACGCGGCACGUCGGCCAUCGCGUUGAUCAAUAUUUUUCUUGGCUCCCAGUGGCAAUUUUUAGUGAACCGAUGUGGACUCGACGCGAAGCGUUGGCUAUCGCAUUGAUGCAAACGACACGGCACGUUGGUCUGCGCGUCGAUGAUUCAAUUUUCAGUCUUUUAAACCCGCGUUCAAAGGGGUAAAUGGAUCUUUUUUCCACCUUAUAUGAGCCCCCAAAAUAUAUCAUUAAGACGUCCAAGAGGCAAAAUAUACUCAUUCUCUUUAGAAUUUAUCAAGAACAAACCCUAGUUCAUCACAUUCAAGAUCCAAGACUCAAGGUUUCCACCAUUAUUCUUCAAGAAUUCGCCAACUAAGAUGCUAGGUGUAGGAUCUAAAAGAGCUGGAUUGCAUAAUGCAAAAGGAGAGAAGUCAAGUAAAAACAACAGACAAUAGAGUGACAAACAGUUCAAUUGCCUCCCUUAAUUCUAUCGGGAUCCCUUCAAUCUCAUACCGGUUCACCUUAUGUGAAUAACUCUUCCUCACAUCAAGCAAAUCCUAAAGUCAAUCAAUCCUAGACUUAUAACAAUGUUGUGCCUCCCAUAAUACCAUCACAACCCUUCUAUUCCCAUACUAGUCCACUUCAUGUAAAUGAGUCUUAACCUGAUCUUGGGAUCAACCAACCCUAGCCUGCUAUUAUUGAAUCUCUACCUUGAUCUAAUCGGCUCCAACCUACAAAUCAAGAUUCUAAAGCAUUAAUGUCACCACCGACCAAUAGGACUCCAGCCACCUCAUCUAAUAUAGUUGACAAUGUAGACGAUGAUGAUCAAAUAUGGAUAGUACCUGAAGGGGAUGGGUUUGUUCUACAGAAGGUAGUUAUUGAUGGUAUUAAUAAUUGCAUUCGAAGUAAGUUUGAAUUGGCUAGACCUUCAUGGAAGAAGUUUCUAGAGUCUACUCGCGAGAUGUGGUUUGAGGAAUUCAAGAAGAAAUGUAAGUGGUUUCCUCACUAUAAUGAUGCUAUAUGGUCUAAUUUUAAUAAAAGGGCAUCUUAAAAAAUGACCCAACUUUUUCAAGAUGUUAGAAAAAAAUUCCUCUAAAACCACAUUGGAUGGGAGAUGCAGUAUUCAAGGAGAUGAAGGUGUAUUGGGAGUCUGAUGAGUUCAAAACAAAGUCUGAAUGAAAUAAAAACAAUCGUGAUUCAAAUGCCGGUGCAUCACUUCAUACAUAUGGUUGUGUGCCUUAGCGAUUGAUCUAUGAGAGAAUGAAAGAAGCUACUGGAAAAGAUCCUUCUGUUUCAGAAUUUUAUUUUCGAACUCAUCGCAAGAAAAGUGAUAAAAGUUGGGUAAAUGAGAAAGCUGAAUCUACUUAUAAUGAGUUUGAAAGAAAGAAACAAGAAAUAUUAGCUGCUCAAAGUGCAUCAGUUGUGGAUGGAGAAACUAAUUCAGCUAGUCAGCUUGCUAGUUAAGUGAAAUAGAUAUCUGGGUGUAAUCUGUUGGUGGAAAGAAAAAAAAAGAGUCAAAGGUCUUGGCUCCCUGGUUCGAAGUGUAAAGGCAACUAACAAUUCACCAUCAACUUUGCCAAAAAAAAUUGAUGAGAUGAUUAAUUCUCAGGUUGAUGAUUCAAAUACUGAUUUGUAUGCUUAGUUGCAGAAUGAGUGAAACAAAAAUAAGAGGAUGAGAAAGGAAUUAGAAUUGUUGAUGAAGCAUGUAUACAAGAAAUUAUCUUUAAAUUAUGAACGCCCAUCUCAAGAAGACAACCAAGCUUAUGAGAAUGAAAGUGAUGAUGACUCUAACGAUGUAAAUGAAAGUGAUAAUCCUGAUAACAUAAAGUGAUAAUCCUGAUAACAUAAAUGAAAGUUAUUCUGACCCUGAUGAUUGGUAGUUUUAUUGAGGAUGCAAGUAUUAAAUAUUUUGUUUUGGACCAUUUAAGAAUCAUACAUAAAUGGGUGCUAAGCAGAGGUAGGACAAUGACAUGGUGCAACAAAAGGAGUGGUGAAGCUAGAAUAUACUCUCAUAUCGACUGUGUUUUUGGUAACAGAGCUUGGUUCCAAGAAUACCAUUAUAUUGAGGCAGAAUAUUCAGCACCUGAAUGUUCUGAUCAUUCUCCAGUGGUGUUGAUUACUAAAACCACUCCAUCACAUUUGGAGAGGCCUUUUCGACUAUUGAAUGUCCGGCUACAUCGGGAGAAGUUUAAGGAAAUAAUGGCAAGUGUGUGGAAGGAAAAUGUACAAGGUCAUAUAAUGUACAAAGUGUAGAAGAAACUAUAACUAGUGGCUCACCAAGCACGACAGAUGAAUAAAGAAUGCUCCAAAAUUGAACUGAAGCUAAACAUGCUUAGAGAACAAUUACUUGAGGUGCAGGAGGAUAUGACAACUAACAUGUUUAACUCUAUGCUCAUUUCCAAGGAGAAAGUCAUCUUACAAGACUUAGAGAAAUAGGAGGAAGUAAAUGAGAGGAUACUGAGACAGAAAUCUAGAGCAACCUAGUUAAAUGUGGGGAUAAGAACUCCAAAUACUUCUUUGCACAUAUGAAAGAAAGGCACAUCAGCAACAACAAUGCCUUAUAUGGACUUAGAGAUCCCAAGGGAAGGACCAUGCAUAACAGUACUUCAACAACAAGACCUCUUACUACCAGUGACAAUAUUGGAUGUAGAAAAAGCUAUCAAUGACCUGCCAGUGGAUAAAAGUCCAGGUAUUGAUAGAUUUAAUGCAAAAAAUUUCAAAGCUUAUUUGCCUAUUAUAGGAGAAGAGGUGACUGCAGGAGUGUUGUAGUUCUUUGAAAAUGGUAAAAUGUUGAAAAACAUUAAUGCUAACACUAUUACUUGCACUACUAUAUAUAAGGUGAUUGCCAUAAUCCUCAUCAACAGACUCAAAACUGUAGUAGAUAAACUGGUCAGCCUAGCCUAGUCAACUUUUAUUGAAGGAAGAAGUAUCUUAGACAAUGUUGUAAUAGCGCAUAAAUUAGUGAAAGGUUACUUACAGAAGGGAGUGGCAGCCAGAUGCACUAUCAAAGUUGAUAGCAGAAAGGCCUAUGACUCUAUAGAAUGGCUAUUUCUAAGAAUGGUGUUGUUAGAGUUUGGUAUCCCUACUAAACUAGCUGAGCUGAUAAUGGAAUAUAUCUCCACAAUAUAGUACAGUAUAAUCUUAAAUGGGGGAUUGACACCACCUUUUCAAGUAUAAAAAGGACUUAAGAAAGGGGACCCAAUUUGUCCUAGCUAUGGAAUAACUAAAUACGAAUCUGCAGUAACUGAGAAAGAAGCCACAAUUCAACUAUCAUCCAAGGUGUGAGUAGCUGAGAAUCAUACACAUAUGCUUUGCUGAUGAUAUGUUAAUGUGUUGCGGGGUUGAUGAGAUAACAAUCAAACAAUUAUUCAGUACAUUCAACCAGUUUUCUACUGGUUUAGGAUUUCGGGCCAAUUUAGAAAAAAGUUCAUUGUACAUUGCAGGAGUGGACAUUGCUUUCAAGGAGAAAAUACUAGCUGAUUUGGGAAUGACCUUAGGUACUUUGUCAUUUAAUUACUUAGGGGUGCCUCUCUCAACUAGGAAGUUAUCAGUCCAACAAUACAUGCUAAUUAUGGAAAAAAUGAUGGCAAGGGUAAAGUGCUGGUCAUCUAAACUCCUCUCCUAUAGUGGAAGACUACGACUAAGAAAAAGUGUGUUAUUUGAAAUACAAACUUACUGGGCUCAAAUUUUUCUCUUGCCUUAAAAGAUCUUAACACUGCUUAGUACAGUCUGUAGGUUAUUCUUAUGGACAUGUAGUAAUGAGUGUUCUAGAAGAGCUUUGAUUGCUUGGGAGACAAUAUGCAUUUCACAAAGAGUAGGAGGACUUAAUGUGAUUGAGAUAAUCAGGUAGAAUAAAGCUGCAAUUUGUAAACUGUUAUGAGCAAUUGAAGAAAAGCAAUAUAGGCUGAGGGUAAUUUGGAUACGUACCUAAUACAUAAAAAACAAUAAUCUGGAUACUCUACAGGUUCCAAAAUAAGCUAGUUGGUUAGUAAGGAAAAUCCCCGAGGCAAAAAAAUGGCUAAAUGGUGUGGGCAUUGUCCAGACAAAGCUACAAGCCAUUAGUGGACCUACAAGCUUCUGCAUUAAAAAGUACUAUUUGAGUAUGUUACCACAAUACCCUCAAGUGGCAUGGAGUAGAUUACUUAUGACACAGGGUCAGAUGCUAAGACAAAGUUUAUCCUAUGGUUGGAACUUUAACAAUGACUAAGCACUUGGUACAUGCUUAGUCAAGAGUUAGCUUAAAAAAUGAAUAACUCUUGGUACGUGUAGAAUUUUCAAGACCUAGACCCACCAAUGUAUAGGUAAUUGACUCAUCUUUCCAGAGAUACCAAUUUUGCCUUAAUCCAAUGCUCGGUUGAAAAGUUAUGACAUUUUUAGUAAAAUAGUAUGGCAUUUUGACAGGCACCGCAUCGCGGUGUAGGACGGUUUCGUAAUUGUCAAAAUCUAGUGGAGAACCGUGAAUAUGUUGCAUCGCAUUGAAAGUAUAGUUCCUACUCAUCUUUUUUCCAGUGAGGCAAUGCAAUUUUAGUGCAUCGCAGCGAUGGACAAAAUGGGACUCGUCCCUUUUCCAGUUAUCCAACGUGAUAGCCCCGUGUCGCAUUGAUGGGCAAAAUCAAGCUCGUUCCUUUUCCAGUGAACCACACGAUAGUGGCACGUCGUGGUGGGUGGCCAAAUCUGGAAUUUUCCAAUUUUUGAGUUAAAUUUUAAAAGGGCAAUUUAGUCAAUUCCCAAGCCCUAAGUCAUGAAUAACACAAAAUUAAACCUAUUCUAAGCUCACUUUUCAUCAAUCCUCUCUCAAGAAAACCUUAAACCUCAAAACUUAACCUCCAAGAAAUCAAAUUUCCUCCAUUUUAUUUUUAAGAUAGCUCAAAAUUAAAGAUUUCCAAUCCAAGAACUUUAAGAGGUUAUCUUCAAAAGCACAAUUAGGAAUUCUAGAUCAAGUUUUUUAUUUAAUUUCAUCAAUUAAGGUAUGUGGGAUUUGAACAAGGAUAAAUCUUUCAUCCUUAUGUCCAAAACUAGUUUUAAAUUACAAAUUUACAUGACUUUAAAUAAAUUUCAAUUUAGGUUCAUACCCAUUUAUUGCUAUUUGAAGAUUAUGAUGUUUUAAGUGUUUUUGAUGUUGAAUUACAUGUCUACUUUCGUAAAUUGAUGCGUAUGAUUGUAUUUUUCAGAUUUGAAUUGAAUUAUGAAUACUUACAUUAUCAAGCAUGAACGUUAUGAUGUUUUGACAUAAAUUUGAAGCAUGGUUUAUCAAGCCCUAGUUAAAUAUUGCUAUUUCAAGAAUGAUUAUGCUUUUAAGUAUCCCAUGAUAUGUUUAUAAACAACUUUGAAUAAAGAUUUGAUCUUUUGAUAUUUAGCUAAGAUAUGAAAACCACUUUACAAAUUACAUUCAGUUUUGAAUGAACAGAUGCACAGUUAGCUUUCAGUAUAAAAUAUUAUGACUUUUAAAAAGUGGAUUUCCUUCAGAAUGCGCAUAUAGAUUAAAGGAAGUAGUAUUUAGCACCGAGCGAAAACUGUGGGUUUAGUGCAUCCUACUUUUCUAGAACUACAAGCAAACGUAGGUACAGAUUCAAUAUUCCUAUUUCUAUAUGGAUGACAGUUACAGAUAUGAUCACUUAGCUCAGGUUAUACUCCUUGGAAAGAGUAUGACACCUCUUCCUAACAUAAGGUUUUCUCCUUAGGGGAAUGAGACGUUGGACUCCAUGAUAUCUCUCAUGGUUUAGGUCUGUUAACAGUACCUCCCUAAUAGGAAAGAAUAGCAGAACAGUUUUAGCACAAUACAGCUUUCAGAAAAGAACAACUUUUAGACUUUAAAUGUGAUGGCUCACUAGAUUUACACAGUAUGUUUUAUCAUUCAUGAUUUAUGAUUUUUAACUUUCAGUUAUUCCAUCCAUGUGAGUCAUUACAUACAACAUGCAUAUUCUAUGAAUUUUAUUAACAUUUGA